rfam:Gossypium arboreum cultivar AKA8401 contig_83070_1, whole genome shotgun sequence.
AUACAUUGAUGAGGGCACUUUCAUAAUAACUCUUUGAACUGCUCCCAUGCCUCAUAUAAAGAUCCUUUAUCAAGUUGUUGAAAUGAAGUGAUUUCAUUUCGAAUCUU